rnacentral:lncRNA from 1 species
AUUACAGGCGUGAGCUACCGCGCCCAGCCAGAAGGUAUUAUUAAGACAAUUUCAACAGUAAUUUGCGGAGAAAUAAAAUCAGUAAAGGAAGAAAGAUUGAAAUACAACAGAAACAAGAAAUAAUAAAUGCAGGAAAAUUCUAGAGAAACUAAGAUAGGCUAGAGUCAGAAAUGUAAAUAGAACUUAGUUUUGAUGGAGAACAAAACAGUUGUAAGAGGACAGAAGAUGAUUUGUAAUGUAGAGAAAUUAAGAUUAAAAAUGAUAGCAGUUGGGAAAGUGUGUUAUUGGCUUACAUCACAUUGACUAAGAGUUCUCAGCACUACCUUACAUGUAGGGAAUCUUUAAGAAAACAGUCUACGUAGAACAUAGAACAUAGUCUAUGUUCUACAUAGACUGUUUUCGUCCUUUACCAUGACUCCACUAGCUUUGUCAGAAUCCUUUCUUUAACCAGGGUUCUAGUUAUGUUACCCAUCUUGACAAAGGACCAUCAUUGCCUCUCUUCAAACUUCAUAGCAGCCCUCAUCAUUAAUCUGGACACAGGUCAAACCUGUCCAGGGACCCUCAGCCAGUUCUGGUAAAAGAAGAACAAUGCAGCAAGAGAAUUGAGGAUAUUUUUGAGAAUGGAUUCAACUUCUGGAUAUCACAAACCAAAUUGUGGCACAGAAAGACAAUUCAUAAAUGUCUUCUUCAAAAUGGGCCAAUUAGGCCGAAGUUGAGAAUUUGGGGAAAAGUACAAAAUUGAGAUGAUCAAGAACUAAUUCUAGCUACAUUGCUGAAUGGAAAAACUAAGUAACAUGAAGCAGAUAACCUAUCUGUUGAUAACUGAGACUAAGAAAAUACAAACUAUUGAAAAAGUGAUGUGAUAUGACUUUAACUUAGCAUGAAAUGAAGAGACACCAGAGUAUAUACAGUAAGUCUAUAAUCAGUAAUGUCUCAUUCAUGUAUGUCACCCACCUUUAAGUUUAGCCAAUUAUCAAAAUACAGUUAUAUAACUACUUUUCCAUAUUUUUGUAAGGUAAAUGUAUAAUUACUGAAAGUAAAAAAUAGUCGGAAUGCAACAUAUAGCAACAGUAAAAACAAAAAACAACAAAAGAUAAUUAUUUAGGAUUGAAGCAGAAUAACAAAAAAGAGUGAAAAAAUGCAAAAGAAAAUUAAAUAUAGCAAUAACCAUUAUCAUAUAAUAAACUGGAAGGCACUAAAUUUCAAUCAUAUUUGCUGAAAGACAUUACAAAAGUUACUAGUAAAUUACUGUUGCUAUUACCUCUUAUGUUUCCUUUCACAUUAACCCACAUAAAUAAAAUACUUAUAAAUUUACUCUUUAGUUUUUAAUCAAUUUUAUAAACUAUUUUAUUAUCAACUCUUAGUUAAUUUCAUAGGGAUGAAGGAAGUCACACAUAACUCUAAAUCACUUAGAAACAACAGUCAAGGUGACCAACCAUGGCACAUAAUUCCUAAUUUAUACUAGCUAAGCCUUCCACCACAUUAUUUCUUUACCUAAAGGAUCUCAAAUGUUGUCACUGGCUCAAAUCUCUAAAUCUCCAUACAGCCUUGAGAACUUUUCAGAUUUUAGAGAUCUUCUCUCUCUUUUCUUUCUAAUUAACCCCUCUUUCUAGUUAACCCUUCUUGCUAUUAUAUGCCAGGUAACUGAGAUUUCCCUCCAAUGUAAAUUAUAUUUCCUUAAGGCAUUGUAGCUGUACUAUCUAUGAUUCACUGCAAAUUCCCACUUUGGAAAGAGAAAUGGUGGUAGGGUAGAAAUGAACAAGUGUUUUCUCACAGACUCAGUAUUCUCUGCAGAUAAGGAUUAUCUACUAUGACAAAGGAGUAGAUUACAGCCACCUCUGACAAGGCAACCACAAACAAAUCAGUUCAACCUAAGCACUUCAAGGACAGAUUCCUCUACUCUGGAGGUGGGAAAGUGAGUUUUCAAGACCUAUGCCAUCUAAAUACCUAAUUAUGGACUCUGCUGAGGAAGGUGAGUAGUCAACUGGAGUUAAUUUAAAGAUAAUACUGUUAUUCUAUAUUUGUAGAUAAAUAGAGAGUUAACUGUAAUUCCUGAUGAACUAAAUUUUUAGAAUCACCAAAGAGAUUCUCCUAAUUUACAAAAGGGACACUGUAUUUUUUAUGUCCUACUACAAUUAGUUAAUACGUUUUAUUUCAUGUUAUUUUAUGUGGGUGAUAUUUCUAUAUUUCAUUAACAACCAUAUAUGUAUAUACAUAAAAACAGAAAUAAAAGUGAACUAUAUCAUAUCAAUACACAGGCACAAGCAAUUCCACAAACAGACUCAAUUGUAAGAAAA